rnacentral:rRNA from 1 species
UACGUAGGGGGCAAGCGUUGUCCGGAAUCAUUGGGCGUAAAGCGCGUGUAGGCGGUCCGAUAAGUCGGCUGUGAAAGUCCAGGGCUCAACCCUGGGAUGCCGGUCGAUACUGUCGGACUAGAGUUCGGAAGAGGCGAGUGGAAUUCCCGGUGUAGCGGUGAAAUGCGUAGAUAUCAGGAGGAAUACCGAUGGCGAAGGCAGGUCUCUGGGCUAUAACUGACGCUCAUGCACGAAAGCGUGGGGAGCAAACAGG